rnacentral:rRNA from 1 species
AAUGACUCUCGGCAACGGAUAUCUCGGCUCACGCAUCGAUGAAGAACGUAGCAAAAUGCGAUACUUGGUGUGAAUUGCAGAAUCCCGUGAACCAUCGAGUUUUUGAACGCAAGUUGCGCCCAAAGCCAUCCGGUUGAGGGCACGCCUGCCUGGGCGUCACGCA